rnacentral:rRNA from 1 species
GGGGGGGGGGGGGGGGGGGGUGGGGGCGGGGAGGGGGGGCGGGGGGGGCCAGGCUUGCUUGGGGACUGGAGUGGCGAACGGGUGGGUAGGGCGUGGGUGGUCUGCGCUGCACUUCGGGAUAAGCCUGGGAAACUGGGUCUAAUACCGGAUAGGGCCACAUUUUGGAUGGUGUGGUGGAAGGUUUUUCGGGUUGGGAUGAGCUCGCGGCCUAUCAGCUUGUUGGUGGGGUAAUGGCCUACCACGGCGUCGACGGGUAGCCGGCCUGAGAGGGUGUACGGCCACAUUGGGACUGAGAUACGGCCCAGACUCCUACGGGAGGCAGCAGUGGGGAAUAUUGCACAAUGGGCGCAAGCCUGAUGCAGCGACGCCGCGUGGGGGAUGACGGCCUUCGGGUUGUAAACUCCUUUCGCUAGGGACGAAGCGCAAGUGACGGUACCUGGAGAAGAAGCACCGGCUAACUACGUG